rnacentral:rRNA from 1 species
UGGGGAAUUUUGGACAAUGGGGGCAACCCUGAUCCAGCAAUGCCGCGUGUGUGAAGAAGGCCUUCGGGUUGUAAAGCACUUUUGUCCGGGAAGAAAUCGCACCUGAUAAUACCGGGUGUGGAUGACGGUACCGGAAGAAUAAGGACCGGCUAACUACGUGCCAGCAGCCGCGGUAAUACGUAGGGUCCAAGCGGUAAUCGGAAUUACUGGGCGUAAAGCGUGCGCAGGCGGUUGUGCAAGACCGAUGUGAAAUCCCCGGGCUUAACCUGGGAAUUGCAUUGGAGACUGCACGGCUAGAGUGUGUCAGAGGGGGGUAGAAUUCCACGUGUAGCAGUGAAAUGCGUAGAGAUGUGGAGGAAUACCGAUGGCGAAGGCAGCCCCCUGGGAUAACACUGACGCUCAUGCACGAAAGCGUGGGGAGCAAACAGG